rnacentral:rRNA from 1 species
CAUGCGAGGUAAGAGUUCAGUUGGCAAAUCCGCUGAACAAUCUGAAGACGUGAUGCGGACUGAAAAUAAGUAGGGAAGCACGUGAGCUGACUGUCAAGAAAAGCCGCUAUUGUUUGCAGGAUACCCGUACCGUAAACCGACACAGGUGGAUGGGGAGAGAAUCCUAAGGCCGACGGGAGAAGCAUUGUUAAGGAACUCGGCAAAAUGACUCCGUAACUUCGGGAGAAGGAGUGCCAGUAAGAUGGCCGCAGAGAAUUGGCCCAAGCAACUGUUUAGCAAAAACACAGGUCUAUGCAAAACCGAAAGGUGAGGUAUAUGGGCUGACGCCUGCCCGGUGCUGGAAGGUUAAGGGGAGAGGUUAGCGCAAGCGAAGCUUUGAACUUAAGCCCCAGUAAACGGCGGCCGUAACAAUAACGGUCCUAAGGUAGCGAAAUUCCUUGUCGGGUAAGUUCCGACCCGCACGAAAGGCGUAAUGAUUUGGGCACUGUCUCAACAAUGCACCCGGUGAAAUUGAAAUACCAGUGAAGAUGCUGGUUACCUGCGCCAGGACGGAAAGACCCCAUGGAGCUUUACUCCAGCUUGAUACUGGGAUUCGGUAUUGCAUGUACAGGAUAGGUGGGAGGCUAGGAAAUGGUAACGCCAGUUGCCAUGGAGCCGAUGUUGGGAUACCACCCUUGCAGUACUGGGUUUCUAACCAGCAGCCGUGAUCCGGCUGGGGGACAAUGUCAGGUGGGGAGUUUGACUAGGGCGGUCGCCUCCGAAAGGGUAUCGGAGGCGCUCAAAGGUUCCCUCAGAAUGGUUGGAAACCAUUCGAAGAGUGCAAAGGCAGAAGGGAGCUUGACUGCGACACCGACGGGUGGAGCAGGUACGAAAGUAGGACUUAGUGAUCCGGUGGUAUAAAGUGGGAUUGCCAUCGCUCAACGGAUAAAAGCUACCCUGGGAUAACAGGCUUAUCACUCCCAAGAGUUCACAUCGACGGAGUGGUUUGGCACCUCGAUGUCGGCUCAUCGCAUCCUGGGGCUGAAGUAGGUCCCAAGGGUUGGGCUGUUCGCCCAUUAAAGCGGUACGCGAGCUGGGUUCAGAACGUCGUGAGACAGUUCGGUCCCUAUCCGGCGUGGGCGUAAGAUAUUUGGGAGGAGCUGUCCUUAGUACGAGAGGACCGGGAUGGACUGGCCGCUGGUGUAUCUGUUGUCUUACCAAAGGCAUAGCAGAGUAGCCAAGCCGGGAAGGGAUAAACGCUGAAGGCAUCUAAGCGUGAAGCCCCCCUCAAGAUGAGAUAUCUCAUAACGUCAAGUUAGUAAGACCCCUUGAAGACGACGAGGUAGAUAGGGCAGAGGUGGAAGUGUGGUAACACAUGGAGCUGACUGUUACUAAUAGGUCGAGGGCAUAACC